UACGUAGGGGGGCAAGCGUUGUCCGGAAUCAUUGGGCGUAAAGCGCGUGUAGGCGGCUUGGUAAGUCCGCUCUGAAAGCCCGGGGCUCAACCCCCGGGAGGCGGGUGGAUACUGUCAAGCUCGAGUCCGGAAGAGGCGAGUGGAAUUCCUGGUGUAGCGGUGAAAUGCGCAGAUAUCAGGAGGAACACCAAUGGCGAAGGCAGCUCGCUGGGACGUGACUGACGCUGAGACGCGAAAGCGUGGGGAGCAAACAGG
rnacentral:rRNA from 1 species